AAGCAGGAAGCCAUAUCUGCCAUUAUCUGUUUGAUUACAGCCUGUGUGCCCCCUGCGCUCUGACUAUAUCAUCCCAGCAUUCAUUUUGUUAAACUGUCAACAUGGGAAUAGUUUUAGGGGUUGUGGCUGAUGUAGUGGUAACAGCAGUGGCAGCCUCUGUAGAAGCCGCUGCCACUGCAGCAGCUGAGGCCGUCGCCGCCGCAGCAGCCGAGGCAGCGGCAGAGGCAGUAGCUGCAGGUGUAGAGGCGGCUGCAGAGGCAGCAGCAGAGGCAGCAGCAGAGGCAGCAGUGGAGGCCGAAGCAGAGGCAGCCGCAGAGGCUGCAGCGGAGACUGUGAUAAGUGGUGGAACCGAGGCUGCUGAGACCAUAGCUCAGGUCUUGCGUUGGGUGGCCAGUCUUUCCAAAAUGAUUAAAGAGUUCUGUGCUAUUGAUGCCAUUUUUAAAGCUGCAAAGGAAAUCCUAAAGGCCUUCCUGUCUGACCCUGCUGCAAAAGAAAAACUGCAGAGGCUGGAGAAGUGUCUUAAUGUGUUGUCAAAACUCAUAUCCAAGAUGAAUGAAGUUGGGACGUGGCUGGAGGAGCACAAGGAAGACACUGUGACUCUUGAUGGGUAUGAUAUACCCUUGGAGUCAGGCAUUCUCAGCAAGUUCAUGAAACCACUGUCCAUAGCAGUCACGACCAUGCAGAGACUUUCCGAAGAUGUCUCCAACCUGAACAUAAAGAAACAGAUGAUAAUGGAUGCUCAACUGACAUCACUGCACAGAGGCAUCAUUCGUAUUGUGGCAGCGUUUGAGUCACUUGCCCAGUACAGAGAAGAGAAAGGUGGAAAACUUCCUGUGCUGAUGUCACUUCCAAUCAACUUGGAUGAAGUGAAGGAGUGGAAGGAUGACCUUGGCUAUGACGGGGAGGACAUUCUGUCUCUUCUCACUUCAGUCACUUAUCAAUAUUAACAAUGUCAAUGCAACGUAACAGAGCACUUUGCAGAACUAUGUGCCUAACAUCCUUUAAGCUGUAGUGCAGUUUCUAUAAACCAUGUAUUGUUGAAUGUCUGAAGGAUUUAUCUAAGAGUUUGAAGUAAGGUGACUGGACUUGUUAGAGUUUUGGUAUUCCUCCAUGCAGAGCGCUCCUCCGUGCACUCCAAGAACUGAUGAAGCUGCUUGGAGGAGCAGCAUAACAUCCUCAAGGAGCUCUGAGAAGUCCAGUAGCAUUGCUUCAAACUGCUGGAUAACAGGUGUAACAACUCCCAGAUGCCCAUACUUCUUUAUAUGAUUAAGUAAGUUUAUCAGUAACUUUAAAGGAUUUUGCUGUUCUGUGUGACUUGUGUUAUUUCCUGUAGUCUGUGGCAGUAAAAGCUUUUUAAAACACCUGACCUACUGAAAUCUCUGAAAAUAUUAAUGUCAGUCUUACAAAAGCCUCUGAAUGGGAAUAUACCAGAACUAGGGAGUCAAGGACUGCAGAGUCCCAAACUUUUCAGGCGCUUACAGCAUUACAGCCUGCACCUUCCACAGCGUGAAGCUGAUCGAGUCUCAGAAAAAGGAAAAACACUGUCUCCAGAAAAGUAAUUGUCACACUAGGUAUAUAAAAGGGGGAACCCAACCAUUGCAUUCAAUUUUUGGCUUACUUCCUGUUUCAUGUAAUAACAUAUUCUGCAUCAAAAUCUCCUCUGGACCUCGUUUAACUGAUUGCAC
ensembl:lncRNA translation initiation factor IF-2-like